UCUCAGUGACCCAAUGGCUCCUUUUGCCUUGUGCGGAGGAGUACACUAUGCGACCCCAGGUCAGGCGGGGCUACCCGCUGAGUUUAAGCAUAUC
rnacentral:rRNA from 1 species